rnacentral:rRNA from 1 species
ACGAACGCUGGCGGCGUGCUUAACACAUGCAAGUCGAACGGAAAGGCCUGCUUUCCCUUGUGGAUUGCGGGUACUCGAGUGGCGAACGGGUGAGUAACACGUGAGUGAUCUGCCCCCAACUUGGGUAUAAGCCUGGGAAACUGGGUCUAAUUCCCGAUAGGACUGCAGGGUGGUGCCUGUGGUGGAAAACGAUUUUCUAGUGGUUGGGGAUGAGCUCGCGGCCUAUCAGCUUGUUGGGGGGGUAAUGGCCUACCAAGGCGGCGACGGGUAGCCGGCCUGAGAGGGUGGACGGCCACAUUGGGACUGAGAUACGGCCCAGACUCCUACGGGAGGCAGCAGUGGGGAAUAUUGCACAAUGGGCGGAAGCCUGAUGCAGCGACGCCGCGUGGGGGAUGACGGCCUUCGGGUUGUAAACUCCUUUCGACCGCGAGGAAGCCACCUGGUUGGAAGGGUGGUGACGGUAGUGGUAGAAGAAGCACCGGCUAACUACGUG